CGUUACAGGGGUUUUUCCAUUUUACUGGAAUGAGGAUGUUGGCUGCUGUGAGGAGAUGGGUUACAAGUCUUUUCUGUGUGUUGGUGAGGGUGUGGGGCAGCAACAGGAAUAGCAGAGUGUGUGGGGUAUGGGGAAGUUUUAUUCCUGUUACGGUCGUAAUCAUUGUCCCUAUGUUUGUCCAGUAUCUUUGGGUUUGAGGGCAAUGCCACCAGAUGUGGACCAGGGACGCACCUGUUUGGGCACAUUUCCAGCAAACAUCUGGGUGUUGGGGAAUAACGUGUGUAGUUUAGCUGGGGAGUAGU